GAUGAACGCUGGCGGCGUGCCUAAUACAUGCAAGUCGAGCGAACGGACGAGAAGCUUGCUUCUCUGAUGUUAGCGGCGGACGGGUGAGUAACACGUGGAUAACCUACCUAUAAGACUGGGAUAACUUCGGGACACCGGAGCUAAUACCGUAUAAUAUUUUGAACCGCAUGGUUCAAAAGUGAAAGACGGUCUUGCUGUCACUUAUAGAUGGAUCCGCGCUGCAUUAGCUAGUUGGUAAGGUAACGCCUUACCAAGGCAACGAUGAAUAGCCGACCUGAGAGGGUGAUCGGCAACACUGGAACUGAGACACGGUCCAGACUCCUACGGGAGGAAGCAGUAGGGAAUCUUCCGAAAUGGGCGAAAGCCUGACGGAGCAACGCCGCGUGAGUGAUGAAGGUCUUCGGAUCGUAAAACUCGGUUAUUAGGGAAGAACAUAUGUGGAAGUAACUGUGCACAUCUUGACGGUACCCAAUCAGAAAGCCACGGCUAACUACGUG
rnacentral:rRNA from 1 species